rnacentral:ncRNA from 1 species
UGGGCGAAAGCCUGACGGAGCAAUGCCGCGUGGAGGUGGAAGGCCUACGGGUCGUCAACUUCUUUUCUCGGAGAAGAAACAAUGACGGUAUCUGAGGAAUAAGCAUCGGCUAACUCUGUGCCAGCAGCCGCGGUAAGACAGAUGAUGCAAGCGUUAUCCGGAAUGAUUGGGCGUAAAGCGUCUGUAGGUGGCUUUUCAAGUCCGCCGUCAAAUCCCAGGGCUCAACCCUGGACAGGCGG